rnacentral:rRNA from 1 species
AGUAACGCGUGGGCAACCUGCCUUAUACAGGGGGAUAACAGCUGGAAACAGCUGCUAAUACCGCAUAAGCGCACAGCGGCGCAUGACGCAGUGUGAAAAACUGAGGUGGUAUAAGAUGGGCCCGCGUCUGAUUAGCUGGUUGGGAGGGUAACGGCCUACCAAGGCGACGAUCAGUAGCCGGCCUGAGAGGGCGGACGGCCACAUUGGGACUGAGACACGGCCCAGACUCCUACGGAAGGCAGCAG